ensembl:lncRNA
AGCGUGGGCGGGGAGAAGAGGUUGCGGGGGCGGUACCAGAGAAGCAGCGCUCUGAUUACUUAUGCUCCAGAAGCCUAUCGAAACGGCGCAAGCGCGUCGGGAGCCUUCGGCUGGGCCGGAAGUAGCGGAGAAGGGAGGGGGUGAGCCCCCGGAGGGGAGGAGUCUGGGUCCUAAACUGGAGCAGCUUUGAUGCCAGACCGCGCGCACCACACGUAGGUGGGGUCCGGAUGUACCAUCUGGAAUGUGGAUACAAUGGCUGGAAUAUCUGCAUUUAUAUUGGACCAUGACGACAUCAAAGUUUACACCUAGAAGGAGUCUUUAUUUCAUGGCACUACCAUUUCAGCACUGAAUUUCCUCUCUGAAAUUCUAUAGUAUUUAUGCUACCUUUAUUUCGUGGCAAUGCCCACAGAAGAAAUAGUUUUGAGGGGGAAGAUGAGUUUGGAUUUUGGGCAUGUGAUGGUGAAACACUGGCAGGACCACUCAGAGAGAUGUAGGCUGCUCACAUCCACGGAAUGAUGCUACAGUUGAAUUAAACCAGGACCUGUGAGGCAGGUGCAGCAUCACUGAGCUAAAUCCCCGGCCCUCCAAGGCAUGCAGAAUGCAAAAUUUGUGGCAUCAAGGAGUUUUCCACCCAGCUAUCAGAAGAAAUCCUGGAAAGUCAAAGAGUGUGCCCAUGAAAGGGUACUGUGUGAAGCUGUGAGGAUGAAGCCAAAAGUGCAGUGGUGACCCCAGGAAUUUGGAGGAGCCAGAAAUAUUGAACAUUUGAGUAGUGCCAUGGAUAGUGAGCAGAGCCAACCAAACAAAGAGGCCAUGAGAGCUGCAACUGGCAAUGCAAUAGGAGUAGGACCACCCAAGUCCUUUGAAGUUCACAUCUCACCACAACUUUCCCUGGGGACUCACAGCUAAGAGUUUGCCUUGGGUCUCAGAGGAGAACUUAAGACUUGGACUUUCCAGCAGUUCUGAACCAUUAAGACUUUGGUGACUCUUAGAGAUAGACUAAAUGUAUUUUGCACAAAGAGAUGCACAUGAGUCUUCUAGAUGUUGUGGCAAAAUUUUAUGGUUUAGAUCAAGAAUGAGUUCCAAAAAUCUCAUGCACUCAUAUGUAGGGCUUUGGAAGAUGAUUGGAUAUUCAGGAAGCUAUAGCUGACUUGCUCUUAGGAAGUGUGGCCCAAUUAGAGGCAGAUCAUGGGGUGGGACCUGGAAGGGUAUGUAUCCCUCCUUGGGUCCUCUCUUAUCUCUCUGCUUCCUUGCUACCAUGAUGUGAGCAGCUUUCCUGCAUAGCAAGUCCUUCUACCAUGUUGCUUCUGCCUUUGAGCCUGCCAAACAUAGACUGAAAAUGUAAGCUAAAAUAAACCUAUUCUCCUUUAAGUUGUGGGUGUUGAGUAUUAUGUCUCAGCAAUGAUAAAAUCACUAAGACUCCCACCAACAAGUUUUAUAUGUUUUUUUAAAACUAGAAUUAAAAAUUUAAAAAUAAGUCAAGUUCAUGCUGGAGUAGAGUAGACCUCUAAUUCAAUGUAACUGGUAUCGUAUCCAUACAAGAUAAUGACUACUGAAACAGCCCUGUGGCCCUGGUGGAAAAUACAGACCCAUGGGCUGGAGCCCAACCAACUCCACAACUGUGAAUUCCACACCUUGGCUCAGCCACCGUCAACUUGGAGCUGGCUCUGCAUUGUUUCCCCUCUGCAUGGUACAGCAGAAGUGCCUACCAAACAAUAGACCUGAUCUUGGACAAGGAAAAAGUCUGGAAUAGAGGAUUCAUCAUGGCUGACUAGGGGAGAAGUCACAUCACAGAAGUUGAGGAAAGAUCCAACAUGGCUGAGUAGAGAAGGAGCCAUGUUAGAGAGACUCAGGGAACAUUAACCAGAAACAAGGAAGAGGAGAAACUAUCAGAAAAGUAAAGGAACAUAAGAUACGGAUUAACCAAACACAAUGUGGUGAUCAUGUCUGAAUUGUGAUUUGAAGAUUCUAACCCAAAGAACACUUCAGAGACAACUGUAGAACAUUCUAUAAGGAAGAGAGAACUGCACUGGGGUGAAAGAAUCAGCAACCAUUGGAACCUGCAAGGGAAGUGUGGGAUACUGCUUUCAGAGUGGCCUUCCAUAGUCAACAUUUGAUAAGUGACCAUGGUCCGGGGUCCCCCGCCACAAUUGUGGAACAAGCGCUGGCAGGAAUGACAUUGUAGGGAAGGGCUCAGUGUUCAAACCCGAGUGCAAGAGCAGCCACACUCCAUGAUGUCACACUCCACAUUGUCAAGUUCCCAAAGUGGAUGAGGGGAGGAAAACCAUGGGAGUUGGAGAGCAGACUGGAGAGAGUCCUGCUGAGGGGCUGGAGCUGGUGAACACAGACCUAGCUCCUGAGGUCAGAGGCCAGGUUCAGCCUGAGUUACAUAGGAUUGGAAGGUCACAUUGGUGCCCUGUCCCCACUGUAUGCAGAUAUCUGCAUCCAGCACCAUUCUGGGGGCUGACUGCCACCUUAGACUUCCAGUGUGAGCAGAAA